GUCCUACGAAAGCUAACUGCCCCGUGCUUCUCCGCCCAUGCAUAGGCAGCCUACUCUAUUUCAUUGAGACCACACAUAUACUAGGGCACUUGAUCUCGCACGCCCAACGAGGAGAGUACCAAAAACAAAGUGAGUCUUAAAGCUCUUCGAAGGCACCAAGAUGAUGAAGUAAGCAUGAAAGCUGCUCUUCCUGGUCCCGACUGCAAGAAGAUAUGGUUGGCGGCUCUGGUCAAUCGCGUCAAGGUGCUCCUGGAUACUGGUUCCUGCCUAAAGACAACAAAAAUGAACACCAUCAUUAGUUCAUCUUAACGACUGCAGCACUGUCCAUGAAUAAGAAUACCAAUACAAACCUUUUGGAAUAUCACAAGAUGCUGUUCAGCUUGGGAUGCAGACAUCAUGCCUUGUCUUUUGCGGCCUUGUGAUGAAGGAAUAAUCAAAUGGAGCAGGAGAAGGAUGGAGGAAAGGUCACCGUUCCAUCCUAAACAAAGAAGAGAUCCUGAUUUAAAAUGAUCUUUGAUGCUGUCAUAAGGAGCUUCCAUCACUCAAAAUGAUUGCAUCAUCCGACUCAUGGUCUGAACCACACAUUACAGAACUGGCAGAGACAGGACUCAUCAGGGAAGAUUCUGAAAUACACGAUGACAAUACAGGCAUGUUAAAUGUAUAGUUAUAUUGAAAGUGAUGCCACAAGUAGUCAAGACUUGAAAACCAGCACAUACCUUUAGCAUCAAACACCAAGAUCUGGCUGUUUCUCCACCUCAUCAACUUUAGUUCCAGACCCAUCAUACAGCUUUGCCUCUGAUAAACUAAUGGGAUCUCAAAUUUCAGGAAAGCUGUGACAAACAUUAAAACAACAACCUCCAAUUAGAAUUGCAAUCGUAAUGGUAAGAGUACUCAGACUGACUUGGAUGAAAAAGCAUUACAUUUGUAUUUCAAUCAUGACACAUUAUAUCAGGAUGACUGCAAACAUUUACCAAUACUCCUUUACUUAGCAAUGCUAAUUUAAAAAUACGUUCUGAAAAUAUUGGAUCAUGACCAGAACUUGUCUGAUAUUACUUGAAGCAGGUCCCAACUACAGCAAAAAGACUAUUCCACUCACAUUCACUGUCCCAAAAUGUGGACAUGGCCUAAUUAGUCCAGUAAAAUACACUCGUAAUUCCAGC
ensembl:lncRNA